GAAUUCGGCUUGAUUACCCGCUGAACUUAAGCAUAUCACUAAGCGGAGGAAGAGAAACUAACAAGGAUUCCCUUAGUAACGGCGAGUGAACAGGGAUUAACCCAGCACCGAAGCCUGUGGCCAUUUGGUUACUAGGCAAUGUGGUGUUUAGGUCGUUCCGCAGAGACACUGCUCCACUCCAAGUCCAGCAAUGAGUACGGUAGUACAGACUUGGCCCAUAGAGGCUGAAAGGCCCGUGGGGGUGGAGAUUCAGGCAGGUUAGUGUCUCUCUGGAUA
rnacentral:rRNA from 1 species